rnacentral:piRNA from 1 species
UUCUAGGGUAGAAGGACAAAGCAC